GGCACUCAGAGACGAUGAAGGGCGUGGAUACCAACGAAAAGCUUCGGGGAGUUGGAAACAAGCAUUGAUCCGAAGAUUCCCGAAUAGGGAAACCUGUAAAACUUCUUAUUGAAUUCAUAGAUAAGAAAGAGACAACCUGCCGAAUUGAAACAUCUUAGUAAGCAGAGGAAAAAAAAGCAAAAGCGAUUUCCUUAGUAGCGGCGAGCGAAACGGAAACAGCCUAAACCCACUCAAUUUAUUGAGUGGGGGUCGUGGG
rnacentral:rRNA from 1 species